rnacentral:rRNA from 1 species
AAUCAACGCUGGCGGCGUGCCUAACACAUGCAAGUCGAGCGGACAGAAGGGAGCUUGCUCCCGGAAGUUAGCGGCGGACGGGUGAGUAACACGUGGGCAACCUACCCUGUAGAUCGGGAUAACAUCGAGAAAUCGGUGCUAAUACCGGAUAAUCAUUUGAAGUGCAUGCUUCGAAUGUAAAAGAUGGCUCCGGCUAUCACUACGGGAUGGGCCCGCGGCGCAUUAGCUAGUUGGUAAGGUAAUGGCUUACCAAGGCAACGAUGCGUAGCCGACCUGAGAGGGUGAUCGGCCACACUGGGACUGAGACACGGCCCAGACUCCUACGGGAGGCAGCAGUAGGGAAUCUUCCGCAAUGGACGAAAGUCUGACGGAGCAACGCCGCGUGAGUGAUGAAGGUUUUCGGAUCGUAAAGCUCUGUUGUUAGGGAAGAACAAGUGCCGUUUGAAUAAGGCGGCACCUUGACGGUACCUAACCAGGAAGCCACGGCUAACUACGUGCCAGCCGCCGCCGUAA